AUUGAACGCUGGCGGCAUGCCUUACACAUGCAAGUCGAACGGCAGCACGGGGCAACCUGGUGGCGAGUGGCGAACGGGUGAGUAAUGCAUCGGAACGUACCUUUCAGUGGGGGAUAACGUAGCGAAAGUUACGCUAAUACCGCAUAUUCUGUGAGCAGGAAAGCAGGGGAUCGCAAGACCUUGCGCUGAUUGAGCGGCCGAUGUCAGAUUAGCUAGUUGGUGAGGUAAAGGCUCACCAAGGCGACGAUCUGUAGCGGGUCUGAGAGGAUGAUCCGCCACACUGGAACUGAGACACGGUCCAGACUCCUACGGGAGGCAGCAGUGGGGAAUUUUGGACAAUGGGGGCAACCCUGAUCCAGCAAUGCCGCGUGUGUGAAGAAGGCCUGCGGGUUGUAAAGCACUUUCAAGCGGGAAGAAAAGGGAAUGGUGAAUAGUCAUUCUCCUUGACGUUACUGAUACAAGAAGCACCGGCUAACUCCGUGCCAGCCGCCGCAGUAA
rnacentral:rRNA from 1 species